AUUGAACGCUGGCGGCAGGCCUAACACAUGCAAGUCGAACGAGUGGCGGACGGGUGAGUAAUGUCUGGGAAACUGCCUGAUGGAGGGGGAUAACUACUGGAAACGGUAGCUAAUACCGCAUACCAUCAGAUGUGCCCAGAUGGGAUUAGCUAGGAGGUGGGGUAAAGGCUCACCUAGGCGACGAUCCCUAGCUGGUCUGAGAGGAUGACCAGCCACACUGGAGCGCAGACACGGUCCAGACUCCCACGAGAGGCAGCCGUGGGGGAUAUUGCACGACGGGCGCAAGCUUGAUGCAGCCAUGCCGCGUGUAUGAAGAAGGCCUUCGGGUUGUAGAGUACUUUCAGCGGGGAGGCGUUACCCGCAGAAGAAGCACCGGCUAACUCCGUGCCAGCCGCCGCGGUAAUAC
rnacentral:rRNA from 1 species